rnacentral:rRNA from 1 species
UCAGGCCUAACACAUGCAAGUCGAGUGCGCGCCUGUAGCAAUACGGGUGGCGCACGGCGCACGGGUGCGUAACACGUGGGUAACCUGCCCUUUGGUGGGGAAUAACUUCGCGGAAGCGAAGCUAAUUCCGCAUAAGAUCCGCAAGGAUGAAAGCCGAAAGGCGCCGAAGGAGGGGCCCGCGCACGAUUAGCUAGUUGGUAGGGUAACGGCCUACCAAGGCUAUGAUCGUUAGCUGGUCUGAGAGGAUGGCCAGCCACACUGGAACUGAGACACGGUCCAGACUCCUACGGGAGGCAGCAGUGGGGAAUCUUGCACAAUGGGCGAAAGCCUGAUGCAGCGACGCCGCGUGGGGGAUGAAGCUUCUCGGAGUGUAAACCCCUUUCGACCCGGACGAAUGCCCCGCAAGGGGACUGACGGUACGGGUAUAAGAAGCCCCGGCUAACUACGUGCCAGCAGCCGCGGUAAUACGUAGGGGGCCAGCGUUGCUCGGAAUUACUGGGUGUAAAGGGUUCGUAGGCGGUGCGGCAAGUUGGAAGUGAAAUCUCUGGGCUCAACCCAAAGGCUGCUUUCAAAACUGCUGUGCUUGAGUGUGGGAGAGGCGCGUGGAAUUGCAGGUGUAGCGGUGAAAUGCGUAGAUAUCUGCAGGAACACCCGUGGCGAAAGCGGCGCGCUGGACCACAACUGACGCUGAGGAACGAAA